UACAGAGGGUGCGAGCGUUAAUCGGAAUUACUGGGCGUAAAGCGUGCGUAGACGGCUAUCUAAGUCGGGUGUGAAAGCCCCGGGCUCAACCUGGGAAUUGCAUUCGAGACUGAAUAGCUAGGGUACGGUAGAGGGAAGUGGAAUUUCCGGUGUAGCGGUGAAAUGCGCAGAUAUCAGGAGGAACACCGGUGGCGAAGGCGGGUCUCUGGGCCGAAACUGACGCUGAGGAGCGAAAGCGUGGGGAGCAAACAGG
rnacentral:rRNA from 1 species